rnacentral:lncRNA from 1 species
UAGGCAUUUUUGGUUAUUUCCAUUUUUUUUUACUUAUAAAGAAUGCUACUAUACACAUUCUUGCUUGCAAACUUUGUAAACAUCUUUGAAUGUUUCUUCUGUACUAAAUCACAGAAGAGGAAUUAUUGGACUAAAAGCAUUUAUUUUACUAUAGCGCUUGCCUUAUGGCAAAGUUUUUCUCCAGAAGUUUUGUUACAAGUUACAGUUCCACCAGCAGCAUACGAGAGCAUCCAAUAUGGUCACCAACAGAGGCUUUUAGCUCUUAAACAUUCUUUGUCAACUUAUAGGUGGGAACAGUCUCGACAAAUCAGAGUUCCAGAUUCCAGGGAGAAGGAUUCUAGAGCCAAUCUGGGGUCAGAUAUCUGCCUCUUUUCCUAUUAUCCAUAAACAGAACUCAUAUUCUAUGGCACAGACAUGGCUAUGAUAUUCACUCUGGGUGAGAAAAGCCUUCUGAGAAGAGGAAAAACUUGUGAACUGGACUGAAGAUCCUAAGAAAGUCUAAAAUGACCAUGGUCAGCUGUGGAUAACUGAACCCGUGGAAAGUGAAACUGCGAAUAAGGAAGGACUACCGUGACUCCCUCUGCAAUCUUCAUUGCCACUUCCCAUGUGACAAGACGUAUUCAUAAACCUUUGCGGCCCAGUAUUUUGCCUACCACAAGACAAAUGGAAUCACCUCUGUAAAAGGAUCUCUAAAGAUGCUGAAUUUAAUUUGCAGCUCAUAGAUUCACAGACACGAAGGUUUGGGCAGGAUUGAAUCUAUAAUUUCACAGAUUAUGAUCUGGUGUAAGAAUGUUUCGUUCCACAUCUACCAGAAAUACAAGGUGAAGGGUGCAGCCUUCCUGCAGCCGAACCUAACUUGCCUAGUAGUGGAUUUGUCUCAUCUGGCUGACUGGCCACGAAUCCCCUCCCAACCCACAGCUUUUAGUAAUUCACCCUCAAGGGUGAGAGCUCAACCCAACAUGGCUUCUCGGAGGAAAGAUGCCAGAUGGCAUACAACUUGGAUCAUAAGCAUCAGGAUUCUAGGGGAAAGGACAAGGAAGAUGAUUGGCCAACUUCUCUCCCUUUCCACCAGUCCUUUUACUUGGGAAAUAGUACAGAAAAACCUAACCACACGCUCUGUUUAUUUAGAUUAACGUGGAAUCUAUGCAUCUGAUAAGUUAGCC